GAUGAACGCUGGCGGCGUGCUUAACACAUGCAAGUCGAACGAUGAACCUCACUUGUGGGGGGAUUAGUGGCGAACGGGUGAGUAACACGUGAGUAACCCGCCCUUGACUCUGGGAUAAGCCUGGGAAACUGGGUCUAAUACCGGAUAUGACCUUCCAUCGCAUGGUGGUUGGUGGAAAGCUUUUGUGGUUUUGGAUGGACUCGCGGCCUAUCAGCUUGUUGGUGGGGUAAUGGCCUACCAAGGCGACGACGGGUAGCCGGCCUGAGAGGGUGACCGGCCACACUGGGACUGAGACACGGCCCAGACUCCUACGGGAGGCAGCAGUGGGGAAUAUUGCACAAUGGGCGAAAGCCUGAUGCAGCGACGCCGCGUGAGGGAUGACGGCCUUCGGGUUGUAAACCUCUUUCAGUAGGGAAGAAGCGAAAGUGACGGUACCUGCAGAAGAAGCGCCGGCUAACUACGUGCCAGCAGCCGCGGUAAUACGUAGGGCGCAAGCGUUAUCCGGAAUUAUUGGGCGUAAAGGGCUCGUAGGCGGUUUGUCGCGUCGGGAGUGAAAUCCACUGGCUUAACUGGUGGCUUGCUUUCGAUACGGGCAGACUGGAGGUAUGCAGGGGAGAACGGAAUUCCUGGUGUAGCGGUGAAAUGCGCAGAUAUCAGGAGGAACACCGGUGGCGAACGCGGUUCUCUGGGCAUGUCCUGACGCUGAGGAGCGAAAGUGUGGGGAGCGAACAGGAUUAGAUACCCUGGUAGUCCACACCGUAAACGUUGGGCGCUAGGUGUGGGAUCCAUUCCACGGGUUCCGUGCCGCAGCUAACGCAUUAAGCGCCC
rnacentral:rRNA from 1 species